AGAUGCUAGAAAUAACGUGCAAUGACAGACUUGGUAAAAAGGUCAGGGUGAAAUGCAAUCAGGAUGAUACAAUUGGUGACUUGAAAAAAUUGGUAGCUGCACAGACUGGUACUAGAGCAGAUAAAAUAGUCCUCAAAAAAUGGU
rnacentral:lncRNA from 1 species